ACAAUGAAGCGCGAAUUAAAGUGAUUUCUGUAGGAUUUGAUAAUUGGUUUUGUAGGCCAUAUUUGUUUCUCUGAUGUGAUGGGGGGGAGGUGGAAGGAGGCCCCCCAUAUGUAGUGUGUUAUUAUGGUUGAGACACACCCUGCUUGAGCUCCUGGUCCUUUCUUGCCUUUCUCCUAAUGCAGACACCUCCUUGUUUCAAGAGGUUGGUGUGAUAUUCCCACGAUAUACAGCUCCAGGGUAAUUUAGCAGCAGUACAUAAGAAGAUUUUGACUAGGGGAUUGUAUACCGGGGUAUAGGUGGC
rnacentral:lncRNA from 1 species